rnacentral:rRNA from 1 species
GACGAACCGUGCGAACGUUGUUCGGAAUCACUGGGCUUAAAGGGCGGGUAGGCGGGUCAUCAAGUCAGGGGUGAAAUACUUCGGCUUAACCGGAGAAGUGCUUUUGAUACUGGUGACCUCGAGGGGUGUAGGGGCAUGUGGAACUUCCGGUGGAGCGGUGAAAUGCGUAGAUAUCGGAAGGAACGCCGGUGGCGAAAGCGACGUGCUGGACACCUUCUGACGCUGAGGCGCGAAAGCCAGGGGAGCAAACGGG